CCGAGGCGGAUUGGGGGUAGACCCUCGGUGUCCGAUUUCCAAUUUCCUGUGUGAGUCACUGAUGGGCACUUCUCCCCUGCCCCACCAGCCUUUCAUGCACACCGCUCUGCAGAACAAAGGCAGGCCAGAAGACAAAUAAAUAACCCGGACAGGCCAGGUCUUCCUUCUUCAAGAUCACAGAGUUUAAUGAGGAAGUGCUGACCACACAAAGGAGAGGAAGCCUUCACCCCCGACUACUCCCCAGCCCUGCGUCCCCAUCACCAGUGAGCAGUCACCGCGGAUCCACCCUGAAGCAUGUAGGGACGUCAAGAUUUCUAUGACACACUCAAAUGAAGGAGAACCAGGAAGCCGAGAAGAGGGUUGAGCGCCUGCGUGAUUCACAGUCUAGCCAAGCCUUCAUUUUGUGAUCACUGAAUCGUUUCUGGCUCUAACAGUCUGGUGAUGAACAGUAGAUGACACAACCAAAUGGUGUAAGUCCACUAGGAUGACAAAAUGAGCCAAAGCGUUUGCAGACCGGGUUGGCUGCCUGGGCAGCUGGGUGCACUCGAGCUUCAGUGCACUCUUAUCGUUGUUCAUCUCUCAUGAUAGGACAUCAUCCUAUUCGGAGUUCCUAACCCCCUGUGUUAAUUCUUCUCUGCCACCUCUUCUGGUAUUAACUCCCCCGUAAGAUGAGGAUAAGAAACGCCACCAAGGCAGCCCUGCUCGGGCACACAGUCCAGCACACGCAGGUUUGGGCUGGAUGUAAAAGCAAAACAAGAACUGUGGGGCGAUCUCCAGCCGCUCAUUCAACCUUCACUGCAGUUUCUUCAUCAUUAAAAUGCAAUAUUUGAGGGCCAUGCCUGAAAUAUCCAAAUAAUAUUAUUCAAUUAAGGUGAAAAGCACCAUAUAAAUGCUACGGAGGCUGGGACUUAAAUAGUCACAUAUGGUUUCAGGAAAAGCACUCCAGUGCAUCAGCUAGCAGUAAAAACAGGCAGGAGUGAAAUGAUCUGGCUGGAAAUGAACUGCAAAUUGAUAAACAUUUAGUUGCUAAUGCCGUGUUUAUUAUUUUUUACUAGGAUAAAAAUUAACUGCGCGGCCUUGGCCAGAAAACAGAUUGAACUCUACCAUCUGGGUAGUGGAAUCAGUAUCUCCUUAGCGUCCGGUUACGUACAGGUCACCGCUGCCAGCUCCGAUUUUAUUUGUAAAUAGGCCCUGGGUGUCCAGACAACAGAACCAGGGGAGGCCUCUGGGAAGCACAAGCAACCCGGCCACCGCACCAAAUGCGCGACUCUGGAAGGGGCGCUUAGGCAGUAGGGCCGCCCCCCACCGCCCUCGGGGUCCCGCAGUUCCCAAGAACCACGUUGCCACGCCUGCGAUGGAAGGGAGAGCGGCCCGCUAGCGCGGCCGGGGGGGCUGCGG